GGGCGGUUAGCUCAGCUGGUAGAGCGCCUGCUUUACACGCAGGUGGCCGCAGGUUCGAGUCCUGCACCGCCCA
rfam:Actinobacteria bacterium RBG_16_68_12 RBG_16_scaffold_42705, whole genome shotgun sequence.